rnacentral:rRNA from 1 species
AACGCUAGCUACAGGCUUAACACAUGCAAGUCGAGGGGCAGCACAGUGUAGCAAUACAUGGGUGGCGACCGGCGCACGGGUGCGUAACGCGUAUCCAACCUUCCCGUUACUCUUGGAUAGCCUUCCGAAAGGGAGAUUAAUACAAGAUGGUAUUCAAAUUCCGCAUGUUAUUUGAAUUAAAGAUUUAUCGGUAACGGAUGGGGAUGCGUGACAUUAGGUAGAUGGCGGGGUAACGGCCCACCAUGCCUACGAUGUCUAGGGGUUCUGAGAGGAAGGUCCCCCACACUGGAACUGAGACACGGUCCAGACUCCUACGGGAGGCAGCAGUGAGGAAUAUUGGUCAAUGGUCGGAAGACUGAACCAGCCAAGUAGCGUGAAGGAUGAAGGUUCUAUGGAUUGUAAACUUCUUUUAUACGGGAAUAAAACCACCUACGUGUAGGUGCUUGUAUGUACCGUAUGAAUAAGCAUCGGCUAACUCCGUGCCAGCAGCCGCGGUAAUACGGAGGAUGCGAGCGUUAUCCGGAUUUAUUGGGUUUAAAGGGAGCGUAGACGGGAGAUUAAGUCAGUUGUGAAAGGCUGCGGCUCAACCGCAGCACUGCAGUUGAUACUGGUUUCCUUGAGUUCGGUUGAGGUGUAUGGAAUUCGUGGUGUAGCGGUGAAAUGCUUAGAUAUCACGAAGAACUCCGAUUG